rnacentral:rRNA from 1 species
GGACUACUGGGGUUUCUAAUCCUGUUUGCUCCCCACGCUUUCGCGCCUCAGCGUCAGUUACGGUCCAGAGAGCCGCCUUCGCCACCGGUGUUCUUCCCAAUAUCUACGAAUUUCACCUCUACACUGGGAAUUCCACUCUCCUCUCCCGUACUCAAGCUCUGCAGUAUUAAAUGCUAUUCCCAGGUUAAGCCCGGGGCUUUCACAUCUAACUUGCGGAGCCGCCUGCGCGCCCUUUACGCCCAGUAAUUCCGAACAACGCUCGCCCCCUUCGUAUUACCGCGGCUGCUGGCAC